GUGGCUGAGGAAGCCAUUGCUGCUGAAGGUGUAAUGGAUGUUAAGAAUACUUUAUAAGAGGCGCUGAAGACCUCCCUCAAGCAUGAUGACCUAUUACAUGGAAUUUGCAAAGCUGCCAAAACCUUAGAUAAGGCUUUGUGUGCUUGCAUCCAUGUGUGAUGAGCCUGUGUAUGUCACGUUGGUGGAGGCCCUUAGUGCUUAACACCGUAUCACCCUAAUUAAGGUUGACCAGAAAGUAGGCGAAUGGGUAGGCUUCUGUAAAAUUGACAGAGGGGGGAAAACCCUGUAAAGUGGUUGGUUGCAGUUGUGUGGUAGGUAAGGACUAUGGCAAAGAAUCUCAAGCCAAAGAUGUCAUCGAAGAGUACUUCAAAUGCAAGAAAUGA
rnacentral:lncRNA from 10 species